GAUGAACGCUGACAGAAUGCUUAACACAUGCAAGUCUUUGGCGAAGCUGUGCUUGCACAGCCUAGCCAAGGCGGACGGGUGAGUAACGCGUAAGGAACUUGCCCUGCAGUCAGGGAUAACAGACGGAAACGACUGAUAAGACCUGGUAAAGUCAGGCGGACUCAUGUCCAGCCUGAUGAAAAGAGAUGCUGCAGGAGAGCCUUGCGUCCUAUUAGCUUGUUGGUGGGGUAACGGCCCACCAAGGCGAUGAUAGGUAGCCGGCCUGAGAGGGUGGACGGCCACAAGGGGAAUGAGAUACGGCCCUUACUCCUACGGGAGGCAGCAGGGGGGAAUAUUGGACAAUGGGGGCAACCCUGAUCCAGCAAUUCUGUGUGCACGAUGAAGGUUUUCGGAUUGUAAAGUGCUUUCAGCAGGGAAGAAAAAAAUGACGGUACCUGCAGAAGAAGCGACGGCUAAAUACGUG
rnacentral:rRNA from 1 species